rnacentral:rRNA from 1 species
ACGGGGGUGGCAAGCGUUGUUCGGAAUUACUGGGCGUAAAGGGCGCGUAGGCGGGGAGAUAAGUCGGGUGUGAAAUCCCUCGGCUCAACCGAGGAACUGCGCCCGAGACUGUCUUUCUUGAGUCCCGGAGAGGAAGGUGGAAUUCCCGGUGUAGCGGUGAAAUGUGUAGAGAUCGGGAGGAACACCGGUGGCGAAGGCGGCCUUCUGGACGGUGACUGACGCUGAGGCGCGAAAGCGUGGGGAGCAAACGGGA